rnacentral:lncRNA from 1 species
CUGGAUAAAUCCACCUGGUUCUGGUCACGCUAUGAAGAUAAAGUGAGAGGUCUGAAGUGUUUUGGCAAACCUUAAAAAGCCCCUGUGUGGCAGCCUGAUGCCCUGGAAAAAAAUCCAACUUCAGAGUUGGGAAGUCAAAGAUUCAAAUCUCACCUCUGACACAUACCGAUGCAUGACCUUGGACUAGUCAAAAGACAAAGACCCAGGAAGCAUCCCAUGGAAUGGAGACACCUGGAAGCCCCAGUAACAAAAUUUCUGCCUUCUCCCUUGAAGCUUCUUUGGCCCUGGAAGCCAAGGCUAGGACUAGUGGGAAGUAAAAUGGUAAUAACGAUGAAUCAUGCUUAUAAUAAACUUUUAUUUCAUAAGUCCUA